rnacentral:rRNA from 1 species
UGGGGGAUAUUGCACAAUGGGGGAAACCCUGAUGCAGCGACGCCGCGUGAGGGAAGACGGCCUUCGGGUUGUAAACCUCUGUCUUAAGGGACGAAUAAUGACGGUACCUUGAGAGGAAGCUCCGGCUAACUACGUGCCAGCAGCCGCGGUAAUACGUAGGGAGCAAGCGUUGUCCGGAAUUACUGGGUGUAAAGGGAGCGUAGGCGGGAAGGCAAGUUGAAUGUGAAACCUACCGGCUCAACUGGUAGACUGCGUUCAAAACUGCUUUUCUUGAGUGAAGUAGAGGCAGGCGGAAUUCCUAGUGUAGCGGUGAAAUGCGUAGAUAUUAGGAGGAACACCAGUGGCGAAGGCGGCCUGCUGGGCUUAUACUGACGCUGAGGCUCGAAAGCGUGGGGAGCAAACAGG